rnacentral:rRNA from 1 species
GACGAACGCUGGCGGCGUGCCUAAUACAUGCAAGUAGAACGCUGAAGGAGGAGCUUGCUUCUCUGGAUGAGUUGCGAACGGGUGAGUAACGCGUAGGUAACCUGCCUGGUAGCGGGGGAUAACUAUUGGAAACGAUAGCUAAUACCGCAUAAUAGUAGAUGUUGCAUGACAUUUGCUUAAAAGGUGCAAUUGCAUCACUACCAGAUGGACCUGCGUUGUAUUAGCUAGUUGGUGGGGUAACGGCUCACCAAGGCGACGAUACAUAGCCGACCUGAGAGGGUGAUCGGCCACACUGGGAGUGAGACACGGCCCAGACUCCUACGGGAGGCAGCAGUAGGGAAUCUUCGGCAAUGGACGGAAGUCUGACCGAGCAACGCCGCGUGAGUGAAGAAGGUUUUCGGAUCGUAGAGCUCUGUUGUAAGAGAAGAACGAGUGUUAGAGUGGAAAGUUCACACUGUGACGGUAUCUGACCAGAAAGGGACGGCUAACUACGUG